AUUCUGUGUUCAUUUCAUGAUUCUAUGACUGUAGAGCUUUAACAGAUAGGAAUAGAAAAUUAUUUACAUGGUGCUCACACUCUGGGGUUAUCUGAGGCCGUAAGCACCUGAUACCAGCAGGGAGACCAUAUUUUCAUUUAAGCAGUCCAAAUGCCAUGUUGUUACUGUAAUAUUAAUUUGUGGAGUCUAGAGACAAUCUGUUACCUGUCAUAAAUGGAGAAGUCAUUGUGAAAUGGGGAUUCCUUAGUGAUAUUUACGUCUGAGGAUGUUAAAAAUAAAAAAAAACUUUUGCAGUGCAACUGGAAGUGUUUCCUGGAAAUGAAGAUAUUGCACUGAAUUAUAAUUAAAAAUUGAAUUCCUAAAAGCAAAUGGAUGUGAAAACAAGGUAUCAAACAACCCCUGCAUACCAGAAGUGACCCAUCUGGUGACAAGUUUCAAGUAUCUCACAUGUUCACACAAGAACUGAACGAAGUUCAAUCAACUUCAGUAAUUGAAGAGAUGGAGAAGUAGGAAAAGAGGGGCUUCCAAGUAAAUCCCUCAGAUAGCGUCAUUUGCACUCAGUAUGUUAGCAGCCCCCAAAUAUAACUAAUGAGACACUGAGAGGAGAGUGCAGGGCAGUAGCUCUUUCCAACUGAACUCCAUCCUGAGUCAGAAUACAACCCCAGAAGAAAUGCCAUAUGACUACUAGGAGUAGUUCAUUUUCAGGUGUAUCUUGAUGCUGCCUUUCUAUUACCUCUCUUCAUAGCCUCUUAGGCUACUGUAGCCAUUUAACUCAGCUGCAAUUCAGCAGAUAAAUACGAACAGCUUAUGUUUCCAACGGAUUUAAAGGAAAGUGGAAGGUGUUUUGUAGAGGAACAGGAGUCAGACCACUGAAACAGCACCUAAAAAGUAUGAGCACCUCUACAUCAUUUAUUUUGUUUACAGUCUGUAAGAGGAAUAACUAGUUGUGCGGCUGUUUUAUGUAUUUCUUUUUAUUUUCUUCUCCCACGCAGCAGCGAGGAAGAGAGAAAUAUUUUUGAAACUGGGCACAGUAGAGCCAUCCACACCAGACUGCAUCUGGCCACUGUAGCUCUGUCUGCAGGGUAACUGCAUGCAACGAAAGAUGGGCAAACUACCUGGGAACAAAGUAAGCACAUACGAAGACAGUUCCAGCUGUGCUGUCUGUGCACAGCCCCAAAUGUGAGAGACUGUGGCACUCUGGAAUGUAUACCAAAUGCGUGUCCUUUGAUGCGGCAAAUGCAAAUUUCAGCAGAUUUCUGGUGCCUACAGGCAAGUUUCUAUUUAUUUGUUAACUGUGGUAAAGAUUGCUAUGUGCCCCAAGUACAAACAUUGGGCAUUUUUUAAGAGUUUGUGCUUUUGUGUAAUAGGCAACAUUUAUGAAAACUAAAAUUAAGCCGGAGCAGAAACAAAACUUGGAAAGGAACUAAAAGAUAUUGGAUCACAUAAAGUCAUUUUGGGUUUCUCAUAUGUCAAGCUUUUCAUGUAUACAUUUAUGCUUAGUUCCAGUUUGAAAUAAACAGAUGGCAGACCCCCUAAGUCAUACCAUCAGAUGAGAGAGAGCAAAUGCAUGGGAUGCUUUGAAAUCACAAUAAAAGCCCCUAAAUUUGGCAUUAGCUCCUCUGGCUAAAAUUGUAUAUGUAUAUUAGUGAGACAUGAAAGGUAAAUACAAAGAUAUAUGGAGGCUCUUUGAAGUAAAAUAUCUGAAGUAAUCCUACAGGUUGCAUCAGAACCUAUCAAAUCAUUGCCUGCAAAUAUGAAAGAGGUAAGGUAUCCAGGGAUGAAAAUAUAGAAAGCCAAGACAUGAACAAGUUUCUUGCAAUUUUUUUUUCCAGAUUUUGAGCUUAAUAAUGUAUUGCUUAACAGCAGGAACAGGAAUCUAGAGGAGCCCACUGCUGCCUUCACUGUGCUGUCAUUUCUUCUAAAAUACAAUACAGUACAAUACAAUAAAAUAAACAACUAAUGCAGCUGAUACCUCAAAUUACAUGAAAGCUGUGCUCUUCAAACGUUUAUAAAUCUGAUUUUCCAAAUUAUUACAGGUUCAGGGGUAUCUGGUGCCUAAGUCCUACUGAUUCAUAAGAGCUUGUAGCUUCUGAAUCUCAAGUUAAGGCAGUAGAAGGAAGCUCGGGCUUGGGAUCAGUUGCUGGGAUUGCCAGGGUAAACCUCAAAUAGCUCUGAUGCUUACAGUGCCUUGGCAGAACAUGUUUUAUUCGCCAUAUGGAUAGGUCCAAAGUCUCCAGCUAGUCUCCCUGCCCUUGCAACGAUGUCAGAAAAAAAACUAGUACAGCAUUUCCACACAAGGCUGAUAUUAUUUGCUGCACAGGCAAAUGGGAUCCGGCUUCAGCUUGAGAUGUCUGAGAAUGGCUUCCUGUGGUAGUGUGGAUGUCACAGAACUGUGAUUCCUAGAACAACCUGGUGCUCUUGGGACUACAUAGCCAAGGAAAGAGCAGACACAGCAAAAGUCACCUACCUGCUUCUUUAGGUCAUCAUGCAGAUUGACUUUAAAGUAAUGAAAAAAGCUGCUUAAUUCCUUGCUGGCCCUUUACUCACCAACAUCCCUGUACAGCCCAACUUGUCUUCUCCCCUUUAGUUCACCUUGGCUAAUUCAGGUGGUUAUUGGAUUUCUUAGGAUUCUUCAAGCUGUGCAUAACUUUCCCCACCUGCUGCAGAACAGCCUGUAUUCCUGACUCAAGCAUUACCUCUCAUUAGACACAGAGCACGAUGAACUAGGUACUGCUAUGGAAAUACACAUUUCAAGAUACUUCAUUCCCAUUAACUGACCAAUUCUGAAAACAAUGCAUUUUAACUCAGGUCACAACAGCACUUUUCCAGGUGUUCUCACUGAGGCCUACAUUACGUGACAGGGACUUGAAAUACGAGGAAAAGAUCCCCUCAAAGGAAAGAUGAGGCCAACUGGUACAUUUUGAAGUUUGUUUUCAGGAAAGUUUCAAUGUGUAUUCAGUUUUGCUUUAUUUGCAGCACUAUACUUAUAAAUUGCCACCGUUUCUUUUUCUUUUUUUUAUCAAAGACACUCUCUGGAAUAGUCUUCCUGAACAAAGUGUGCUCUUGCAGUGUCCUUUUCUUUAUUUCAGGUUGAUUGGCAAUUCACAAGGUGAACCCCGACCCUUCCAUAAGAUAGCUGCCCAUGUAGAGUUUCUUCUGGAACCAAAGUCAAACUCAUGAUCCCAAGAUACUGAAAUAAAUAAUGAUAAAAAAGGCAUGUUGGUUCACACGAUUUUCUACUUCUCGUCUAUUUUCUCCCUUGAUAUCUCUGCCAUCACAUUGAAUUAAGAGCUUGUCUCACUUACGGGCCUUUUCAGUGUAAGUAAGACACAGGCAAACCGUAACAGGAUUCCCUGACUGAGAUCCACAGCUCAUCAGCAGUCUACAACAUGUUGAACACUAUGUGGGGGAAACAGCUAUCUUUUGAAUGCAUGUCAUGAUAUGAUCAGCAAUAUUUAUCCACUUAAAACAAUGAUGGUCCCUCUGACCAACCUAUGGAUAGCUGACCAAACCAUGGAUGUCUGGAGGUCUAAGCAGGUGAA